rnacentral:rRNA from 1 species
GACGAACGCUGGCGGCGUGCUUAACACAUGCAAGUCGAGCGGGGGACAUGGAGAAGCUUGCUUCGAAAUGUUCUAGCGGCGGACGGGUGAGUAACGCGUGAGCAACCUUUCCUCUACUGGGGAAUAACACAGGGAAACUUGUACUAAUACCGCAUGAGACCACAGAGCUGCAUGGCUUAGGGGUCAAAGAUUUAUCGGUAGAGGGUGGGCUCGCGUCUGAUUAGGUAGUUGGUGAGGUAACGGCCCACCAAGCCGACGAUCAGUAGCCGACCUGAGAGGGUGACCGGCCACAUUGGGACUGAGACACGGCCCAAACUCCUACGGGAGGCAGCAGUGGGGAAUAUUGCACAAUGGGGGAAACCCUGAUGCAGCAACGCCGCGUAUAGGAGAAGGUUUUCGGAUUGUAAACUAUUGUCUGCAGGGAAGAAACAAGACUGUACCUGCAAAGAAAGCUCCGGCUAACUACGUG